GACGAACGCUGGCGGCGUGCUUAACACAUGCAAGUCGAACGGAAAGGCCCUGCUUUUGUGGGGUGCUCGUUUGGCGAACGGGUGAGUAUCACGUGAGUAACCUGCCCUUGACUUUGGGAUAACUUCAGGAAACUGGGGCUCAUACCCGGUAGGAGCUCCUGCUGCAUGGUGGGGGUUGGAAAGUUUCGGCGGUUGGGGAUGUACUCGCGGCUUAUCAGCUUGUUGGUGGGGUAGUUGCUUACCAAGGCUUUGACGGGUAGCCGGCCUGAGAGGGUGACCGGCCACAAUAGGACUGAGAUACGGACCAGACUGCUACGGGAGGCAGCAGUGGGAAAUAUUGCACAGUGGGCGGAAGCCUGAUGCAGCAACGCCGCGUGCGGGAUGACGGCCUUCGGGUUGUAAACCGAUUUCGCCUGUGACGAAGCGUGAGUGACGGUAAUGGGUAAAGAAGCACCGGCUAACUACGUG
rnacentral:rRNA from 1 species